AUACAGAGGGUGCGAGCGUUAAUCGGAAUUACUGGGCGUAAAGCGCGCGUAGGCGGCUUAUUAAGUCAGAUGUGAAAUCCCCGGGCUCAACCUGGGAACUGCAUCUGAUACUGGUAAGCUAGAGUUUUGGAGAGGGAAGUAGAAUUUCAGGUGUAGCGGUGAAAUGCAUAGAGAUCUGAAGGAAUACCAGUGGUGAAGGCGACUUCCUGGCCAAAAACUGACGCUGAGGUGCGAAAGCGUGGGUAGCAAACGGGAUUAGAAACCCUAGUAGUCC
rnacentral:rRNA from 1 species